rnacentral:rRNA from 1 species
AGUCCAGGUAGUCGCCUUCGCCACUGGUGUUCCUUCCUAUAUCUACGCAUUUCACCGCUACACAGGAAAUUCCACUACCCUCUACCGUACUCUAGCUCGCCAGUUUUGGAUGCAGUUCCCAGGUUGAGCCCGGGGCUUUCACAUCCAACUUAACGAACCACCUACGCGCGCUUUACGCCCAGUAAUUCCGAUUAACGCUUGCACCCUUCGUAUUACCGCGGCUGCUGGCACGAAGUUAGCCGGUGCUUAUUCUGUUGGUAACGUCAAAACCGCAGGAUAUUAGCCUACAGCCCUUCCUCCCAACUUAAAGUGCUUUACAAUCCGAAGACCUUCUUCACACACGCGGCAUGGCUGGAUCAGGCUUUCGCCCAUUGUCCAAUAUUCCCCACUGCUGCCUCCCGUAGGAGUCUGGACCGUGUCUCAGUUCCAGUGUGACUGAUCAUCCUCUCAGACCAGUUACGGAUCGUCGCCUUGGUGAGCCAUUACCUCACCAACUAGCUAAUCCGACCUAGGCUCAUCUGAUAGCGCAAGGCCCGAAGGUCCCCUGCUUUCUCCCGUAGGACGUAUGCGGUAUUAGCGUUCCUUUCGGAACGUUAUCCCCCACUACCAGGCAGAUUCCUAGGCAUUACUCACCCGUCCGCCGCUGAAUCCAGGAGCAAGCUCCCUUCAUCCGCUCGACUUGCAUGUGUUAGGCCUGCC